AGAAAGAACCAAAAUCGUAAUUCAUAAAUUGACAAAUCUUAUUCGUUUUGCAGAUGCGUAUGAUGAGAUUUAUCAGUUUGGUCUGCAAAUAUCGCUUCAUCCAUUGAAGUUUAACGGAAUGGGUUUAUUUUAUUUUGGAUAUAAGUUCGUCCGUUCGUUUGCUGUCUGGGUUUUUACUAUUGUUCUUCUACUGGUGCAAGUGGACACCUUUGUAUUAAACACAUCUUCUAAAAUAAAUGCGAGAAUGUGUUUUCAAUAAAUAAAAA